AUUGAACGCUGGCGGCAUGCCUUACACAUGCAAGUCGAACGGUAACAGGCCGCAAGGUGCUGACGAGUGGCGAACGGGUGAGUAAUGCAUCGGAACGUGCCCAGUCGUGGGGGAUAACGCAGCGAAAGCUGCGCUAAUACCGCAUACGAUCUAUGGAUGAAAGCGGGGGACCGUAAGGCCUCGCGCGAUUGGAGCGGCCGAUGUCAGAUUAGGUAGUUGGUGGGGUAAAGGCUCACCAAGCCAACGAUCUGUAGCUGGUCUGAGAGGACGACCAGCCACACUGGGACUGAGACACGGCCCAGACUCCUACGGGAGUCAGCAGUGGGGAAUUUUGGACAAUGGGCGCAAGCCUGAUCCAGCAAUGCCGCGUGCAGGAAGAAGGCCUUCGGGUUGUAAACUGCUUUUGUACGGAACGAAACGGUCCGGGUUAAUACCCUGGGCUAAUGACGGUACCGUAAGAAUAAGCACCGGCUAACUACGUGCCAGCCGCCGCGGUAAUAC
rnacentral:rRNA from 1 species